CACUGCCGCACCCUUUCUUCUCUCAUUCAUCCACAUUCUUGCCCCAAAGAUGGCAUCUCUUUUUCGGUGCAAAUGUUUGGGGUUAUUCACUGAUCUCACAUCACAAACGGGUCUAUCUUAUCAUUUAGGAGUAGACUAUAGCAUGUUGAUUGUUCAUGGAGUUUCAAGGGCUCAAUUGAGAAAGGCUUGUAGAUCCCAAACCGCUCAAUGAAACCCGUGAUUGGUGUUGUGUGAGGUAAACGCACACCUAUUAUUGUUUCCUAGUUUGAUAACUGUAUA